GUGGGGAAUAUUGCACAAUGGGCGCAAGCCUGAUGCAGCCAUGCCGCGUGUAUGAAGAAGGCCUUCGGGUUGUAAAGUACUUUCAGCGAGGAGGAAGGCAUUAAGGUUAAUAACCUUAGUGAUUGACGUUACUCGCAGAAGAAGCACCGGCUAACUCCGUGCCAGCAGCCGCGGUAAUACGGAGGGUGCAAGCGUUAAUCGGAAUUACUGGGCGUAAAGCGCACGCAGGCGGUCUGUCAAGUCGGAUGUGAAAUCCCCGGGCUCAACCUGGGAACUGCAUUCGAAACUGGCAGGCUAGAGUCUUGUAGAGGGGGGUAGAAUUCCAGGUGUAGCGGUGAAAUGCGUAGAGAUCUGGAGGAAUACCGGUGGCGAAGGCGGCCCCCUGGACAAAGACUGACGCUCAGGUGCGAAAGCGUGGGGAGCAAACAGGAUUAGAAACCCCAGUAGUCC
rnacentral:rRNA from 1 species